AGGAGAGUUUGAUCCUGGCUCAGAACGAACGCUGGUAGCGUGGAUUAGGCAUGCAAGUCGAACGGGAUCCAUGAAGUAGCAAUACGGAUUGGUGAGAGUGGCGGAAGGGCGAGGAACACGUGGGCAACCUGUCCAGGAGGUGGGGAAAACCUCGGGAAACUGAGGCUAAUACCGAAUGUGGCGCCCGCACGCAUGUGCGGAGCGCCAAAGGGGGCGAAAGCUCCCCCUCCACGAGGGGCCCGCGCACCAUCAGCUUGUUGGCGGGGUAACGGCCCACCAAGGCUUACGGUUAGCUGGUCUGAGAGGAUGGCCAGCCGCACUGGGACUGAGAUACUGCCCAGACUCCUACGGGAGGCUGCAGUCGAGGAUCAUUCGCAAUGGGCGAAAGCCUGACGAUGCGACGCUGCGUGGAGGAUGAAGGCCUUCGGGUUGUAAACUCCUGUCAUGAGGGAAAAGGAGACCUUACCUAAUACGUAGGGGAUUUGAUGGUACCUCAAGAGGAAGGGACGGCUAACUCUGUGCCAGCAGCCGCGGUAAUACAGAGGUCCCGAGCGUUGUUCGGAUUUACUGGGCGUAAAGGGCGCGUAGGCGGCGGAACGUGUCGGAUGUGAAAGCUCCGGGCUCAACCCGGAAAGUGCGUCCGAAACUGUUCUGCUCGAGUCCGGGAGAGGUGGCCGGAAUGCAGGGUGUAGCGGUGAAAUGCGUUGAUAUCCUGCAGAACACCGGAGGCGAAGGCGGGCCACUGGAACGGUACUGACGCUGAGGCGCGAAAGUCGGGGGAGCAAACAGGAUUAGAUACCCUGGUAGUCCCCU
rnacentral:rRNA from 1 species